rnacentral:lncRNA from 1 species
UACAUAGGAUUAGAACUAGAAGGAGUCAAUCUUCGAUUGGUUUCCGGAUCUGUCAAGAGGAUUCUUGGUAAUUCUCUAAUUGUUCUUCUAAUUGCUUUCUAAUUAUCUUUGUUCUUCAAUAUUAUGAAUAUGACUUUGUUCUACUUCAAUAUAUUGCUUAUGACUUUGCUCUACUUGUUUAUAUUCAAGAUUAUAUUGUUCUUAGUUUAUCAUAGUUAUGUACUUGGCUUAGUUAGAUUGGAUCUAUAUACAUGCU